CUUAAUAGACUUCAUUAGCUACCAAUGUUCAAGACCUCAUAAUUCUAAAAAAAAAUUCUCAAAUGAAAUGAAAUAAAGCAUAUAAAUUAGAAGAGGAAAAUAUAAUAAGGGUUUGUGUUGGAAAUAGAUUUAGCAAAAUAAAAAUAAGUGGUAAAAAAUGAUAUGAAAAAGGAAAUAAAUGGGGUUAAAAAUAAUAAAAGAAAGGAAAAAAU
rnacentral:lncRNA from 1 species